rnacentral:rRNA from 1 species
AGUGAACGCUGGCGGUAGGCCUAACACAUGCAAGUCGAACGGCAGCACAGUAAGAGCUUGCUCUUACGGGUGGCGAGUGGCGGACGGGUGAGGAAUACAUCGGAAUCUACUUUUUCGUGGGGGAUAACGUAGGGAAACUUACGCUAAUACCGCAUACUACCUUCGGGUGAAAGCAGGGGAUCUUCGGACCUUGCGCGAUUGAUUGAGCCGAUGUCGGAUUAGCUAGUUGGCGGGGUAAAGGCCCACCAAGGCGACGAUCCGUAGCUGGUCUGAGAGGAUGAUAAGCCACACUGGAACUGAGACACGCUCCAGACUCCUACGGGAGGCAGCAGUGGGGAAUAUUGGACAAUGGGCGCAAGCCUGAUCCAGCCAUAGCGCGUGGGUGAAGAAGGCCUUCGGGUUGUAAAGCCCUUUUGUUGGGAAAGAAGAGCAGCAGGUUAAUACCCCGCUGUUCUGACGGUACCCAAAGAAUAAGCACCGGCUAACUUCGUG